GGACUGGUGUGCCCUGUUUUUCUUAACGCCGUGAUUGCUGCAUUCAUUGAGUUACAGAAAACAGUGAUGAGGUUAAAAAAUAAACGGAAAUGAGCUCUGUGAUACCCAUAAACCACGUCAGCGAGAGUAACAACGCACGUGCAUACAACAGCCAACAAAAUAGAUCAACACGAGGACGGGGCACUCCCUGGGAUUACGUCGUUCAGCCGUUCAGGAGUGCACUUCACUCAUCACUCCCAGAAGAACAUGUUCUCACCACCAUCGUGUGCACCAAAUGCUUUUAAACGAAAGCAAUUGCACAAAUACGCCCGUGCUGGGAGUGGGGGAAGAGAACAGGUUCGGGUGAUGCACGGAGUGACGGCUUCAUGCUGUGUUCAGUAUCUUCUUUAGAACACGAGGAAUGCACUAUAUAUAACAUAAUCCGGGAUGUGCACACAGAUUUUUGUAAUUCUUCAGAGCCCAUGGAGCGAAUGGCCCGUGGCAUUGAUGUGACGCAGCAGCCUGACAGCCAGGAUGCAAACAAUUAGCAGGGAGAAGAGAUGAAGAGAAAAGAGGUUUGGGCAACUUUGCUGCUUCCCAGGGCUCUGAAAUUGGCCACGGAGCCACAUUUGUUGGUGCCAUGCUGGGAGGAGGCUUUGCACUGGGAGCUCAGCCUUAGUUGGAAGCUGAGGAGUUUCCCAUCUUGAAUUACAUCACGUCCAUGCUCCAGGCCCACACCAUCAGCCUCUUUGCCUAUAUUCUGAGCAAGCAUCUUUGCAUUUCCUCCUUCCCGUGGCUGCAGAGAUCCCAGGCAGCCACUUCCCCUUUUUCUUUCUCCUCCCAAAAGCACAUAUUUCCCAUCCCAUCCCUGCACGUGUCAUGCUGUGCUGUGAGAUGGGUCCCUGCCUUGCUUCCCCUCAAACUCACCCCUCUCUCUGUUCAUUAUCAUCCCGUGCAUCCUAUGGGCUGUGGCCAGGGCUCCUGUGCUCUGCAGUGCCCUAAAGCAGGAGAAUUGCAGUGCUGGUGUGUGCUCUCUGCAUGGGAUUUUCACCAUCGCUGCUGUAUGACAGUGACCCCCCAGCAAGCCCCAGCUCCUCCCAGGCUUGCACUGCAGCCAAUUUACAAGCUCCAUUGAACCAACAAAAAGAAACACAGAUCCUUGGGCAGCUCCGUCCCACCCAGAGAUAGCAAUGCUCCCCACAUGCUGAGCUUCUCCGGCACGGUCCUGGAAGAGCUGCCAACACUCCUCUCCAAUUUGCACGCUUUGUGGAUCUGCAAGGACCCAGCACUCCAGAUCCCACCCGUGCAGGUGUUAGUGCAGAGGGAAGUCCCUUCAGUUGUCCACCUAUUUAAAACAAAAGGG
ensembl:lncRNA